GGGUGAACAUUUUUAGAGAAAAACAGGCACAACAAUAUGUUUUAUUGGAUUGUCUUGUUUUAGCACCCUUUUUUGUGUAAACUUAACCAAGCCCUUUUUCAUGCAGAAAUUGUUGUGCGGCUGGUUGAGUCCAAACCAUGAAGAAAGAAUUUGGAAACGGCAACAUGAACAACCACAAUUAACAUCACAAAGAAUGUGACAUCUUCAAACCCCUUGCUGGUUAGUAAAAAAAAGCCCACAACUAAUUGACUUUAAUGAUUUUACUGUGUUUAUUAAAUCUCCAAUAUGUUAUCUGAAUUCACUGAAUCUCCAAUAUGUUAUCAAUGACCAGAAUAUUAAUAGCAUAUCAACAGCUUCAGUCUUUAGUAUAAAGGUAAAGGGACCCCUGACGUUUAGGUCCAGUUGUGACUGACUCUGGGGUUGCGGCACUCAUCUCACUUUACUGGUUGAGGAGCCGGUGUACAGCUUCUGGGUCAUGUGGCCAGCAUGACUAAGCCACUUCUGGCGAACCAGAGCAGAGCAUGGAAACGCCAUUUACCUUUCCCACCAGAGCAGUACCUAUUUAUCUACUUGCACUUUGACAUGCUUUCAAACUGCUAGGUUGGCAGGAGCAGGGACUGAGCAACGGGAGCUUACCCCAUCAUGGGGAUUCGAACUGCUGACCUUCUGAUCAGCAAGUCCUAGGCUCUGUGGUUUAACCCACAGCGCCACCCAUGUCCCUAAAGUCUUUAGUAUACGUACUUGCUAAUACAUUCUAUUGAAAUAAUGUGUGACUGGAUUCAGAAAAAAAAUACUAUUUUGCUCUAUGUUUUUCAACAAUGCAAUGGCUCAACCUGCAGAUUACCCAAACUGAAUGAGUCACACAUAGCCUCCAUUGCAGGCCUUCUCGGACCUUUGUCAUCAUGUAGAGAACUGAAGGUCUGAGGAGGGACCUCUCUCUGUGUGUAAAUGAUCUCUCCAGUAACACAUGGCUCCCAAUUCUGUAGAGCACCGAUGCACAUAACAAUGUGGGUGUCCCUUUUCAGAUUUCAGAUCCCUCUGUAGGAGAUCUGGGGGCAAAUCCUUCGGGGGCGAUGAAAGAGUGGACUGAAGACACCAGGAACAGUACUGUUUCCCCUUCUAUGCAUUUUUCCCUAUGGGGUGGAGGGAAUUUGUGAAAGGAGCUUGCAUUCCUAGCUUAUUGGUCGCCUGUAGACAUUCACUCACAACUAUUAUGGUUUUUAUGAAUGGCUUUUAGGCAACACCCAUGGCAAGAGCUGUAGAAAUCAUUAAUUCUUCUGACCCUGCAAAAAAAAAGCUUUGCUCAAAAAUACAUAUAAAACCACAUUAGAACAGCUAUCCCUGGUUGGAAGCCAGAGCAGUCAAUCAAAUAACUAUGCUGCCUUUUCUCCUGUACUUAUAUGGAGUAUUUGGGGCUUGGGGAAAUGUGCCCGUUUUAAAGAGACAACAAAUCUGAGGUCUAUGGGAUUUCCUAAGCUCUGAGGUGUCCCGAUUGGGUACAGGCUUCUCAAACUUUGCUUGAGAAGAGGCCCGUAUCUCUCUGAAUCUUAAUCCAAAUCCGAACCAAAUCCAUACCCCUAAUCAUUAUUAACAUAAAGGGUGCAGAAUGGUUGCAUUAAGAUGUUCUUUCUUGUGACAAAACAAUGUUUUCCCCACCUAUUUCCAGUUCCCUCAAGACUCCCCCCCCUCCCAAUUUGCCACAGACCUUUUUAUCUCCUUUCCUGUGCCCAUUUAAUACAUCCCGGAACAGCACAUUUAGAACAACCGUUCUGUGCCAGGAGUGCUUUCCGCCCUCAAUAAGAUUUGUUUCACACCGUCCUCUUUAAACAUGUAUACGCACCACAAACCAGGCUUUAUUAUUCCUUGGGCCACACACCUGCAAUUGGUUUCCAUGGCGACAAGAGUUUUGCAGCCCCCAUCAGUUUUGUUCUCAGUUCCGAUUAACAGAUCACUAGCUGGCGGUAAAAAGGCAAUUAGCGGGGAAAGGCAACUUUUCAGGUGGGUUCGGGAGUUUUAAAAUCUCUCGGCAGUUGCAAAUGCUGCUGGAGGAACAAUACCAACAACAAAGACCCCUUUAAAUAAAACUUCUGUGGACAGAGCCCACUAGGCCUCCCAGUGCUUGGUUCAAUAUGGAUGGUCUCCCUGGCUCCUGACUCUGGGGAGGAGUACAGGUAGUGCGCAGGGCAGUCAAGUCAGUUUCUCUUAAUCCUCAUGGAAGCAAGUUGAAAUGUUUGCUGUGCAGUCACAAACUGAGCCCAAACAUAUCUUUGGAGACCCAUUUCUUUCUUUUUUUUAAUCAUAUAUUUGAAUGGUAGCAGAUCCAUCUUGGAUCUGGCUAAGACCUUGUACUGGAUGCUGACCUCCCAGUUGAAGACCAGUCCUCUAUGGCAAGGAUGGGGAACUUGUGGACUACAGCUUCCAUCACCGCUGAUCAUUGACCAUGAUGGUUGGAGCUGCUGGGAGUUGGAAGUCCAACAAUAUCUGGACAGGUUUCCCACCCUCGCUGCUCCCCACACAUGCCACAGUUCAUCCUAAGUCCCACCAAACCCUUAAAGCCAAGCUGAUUUAGAUGCUAUGCUGGGUGAGAGAGGAGAUUAAAACGAGACAGUGUCUUGCUCCUUGUCUUGCCUAGGUAGCAAAAUGGCACACCCAACUCAGCCAAUGUGUCAUUUUGGCAACUGAGGAGUCUCUCUCUCUCUCUGUUCCUUCCUAGGAAACAAGUAACAAUUGGUGACCAUUUCAUAACCAUCAAAAACAAUUGCCCAGGCAACCACUUCACCCAGCCCUAUAAUUGGGCUGGCUCUUUUUCCCAGUGGGAGGAAUGUCCAUGAUGCUUUUUUUUCACAUGUUCACUCACUCUUGCAUAUGUGUGUGUGUUGCAUGUGUGUGUAUCUGUCUGUCUGAAAUCUCACUCACUCACUCACUUCUCGUUCUGCCUAUUCAAGCCCAGAUUCCUAAAUGUAUGUAAGGAGCUAGGCCUAGCCUCCAUUUAAUAAUAUCUCCUUCCAUUAUGCAUGAGCACUUUAGAGUGACAAAUGAAACUUUAUCUUGUCUUCCGGAGCCGAGUUUUGUUUUAUUUGCAAGCCACGACGAGAGUACAUUUUCUCCCCUGCUUGCUUUCUGUGUCACAUUCUUAGAAGGCAAUAUUGGGAUCUCAUUUUGUCUGUCUGUCUCUUCCCACUCACUUGCCACAUUACCAGUGCCUCAUCAGUUCUGAAUACCUGAUCUUUUUAAAUGUUUUACAAAGGAGGAUCUCAACUGAAGCACAGGGGUUUGUGAAGUGCUAUUUUUCUAGGAAAAUAGGUGCAGGACCUCAUCACAAACGCCUCCCUUGUUCUCUUAGAAUGGCAAUGGCGCCCAACCGAGAAGUUCCGGGGCUCAGUUCCAGCUGAUAAAAAGCCUUGGUUUUGCAAUGCUUUCUUGAAUACCUUGGACAAGGCCUGUCCUUUGAUAUGUCGCUUAAGCACACGAAAAGUUAUGGGAUUACAGUCAUACCUCGGGUUACAGAUGCUUCAGGUUGCAUUUUUUCAGGUUGUGGACUACCGAAGCCCGGAAGUACCGGAAUGGGUUACUUCUGGGUUUCGGCGGUCACACAUGCGCAGAAGCACCGAAUCGCAACCCGUGCGUGCGCAGACAUGCAUCCUGCACGGAUCACAUUCGCAACCCAAGCGUCCACUGUAUACGAAAGGUAAGUGUGUGUGUUUCUGUGUUUGUGUGAGAGAGAUGGAUGAUGUGUGGACAGGUUUCUCCUUAGCAAGGCCACCCCUUUAGAAUUGUCACUGCAUGUUCCCCCGCAUGAAACAGGCUAUGACUGUCAGAGAAAUUAGACGUUUCAGAAGUGAGUAGUGUCUUCCCCACUUGCCUCCAGCUCUGGUGUACUAUUUACACUUUUAUCUAGGCCUCUGAGGGUGUGCGGCAUGAGAAAUGCAAGCGAGUGCAGCCGGGAGUGUGGGGCCUGUGCAAUGGCGGGUCCCAGUCAGUGAUCAAACACAGGAGAAAUAGAGACUGACAGUUGUCAGUGCUCAGGCAUCAGCAUGUUCCCAGAUGUGUGUCCCUUGAGAGGCUUUCUGUGCCACCCUCCAUCGUGGGAAGCCUGUAGCUGUGCAUCACUGUGGAUGGAUAGCUUGAGCAGAGUUCUCAAUAUUUAUUAUUUUUCGAAAUAUAUUUCUCUUUCUGAAAGCUGCUGUGUGUGUCAUGUUCCUGCCAGUGGCGUGCUGGUGCUAAUCAGUGUCAAGUUCCUGUCAGCUAAUGCUUUUGCUGUUUUUAGGAUGGCAGCUCUGUUCUGGGAAGCGGUGAGGGAUUCGGCGAGGCUGCAGCCAUCCAAGGCAGCUUGCUUUCUUUUUUAAAAAAGGAUUGUGUAUUUCUGAAGAAGGGAGAGUUGUGUAAAAUGAAAGGGGAAGCACCGCUCCUAAACAUGGUGUCGUGUACCACAGGAACUGACAAGCAGUAUUGGAAGUUAAGUUCCCUUGAUGGUUUUCUGCAGUAACAGGCUGAAUCUAGACAUACAUAUAUAUAUAUAAAAUAAAAUGCUGUGAAAAUGCUUUGUUUAUUUUUUAAAAAAAGAUUAAUAUGGAAUUUCCCAUUAGCUUACCAUCGCCAUCUAGUGUCACUUUUGUAUAAGGCACUUAAAACACGCUUAAAACGUUAUUUUUUCCCCCUUUUAGUAUAUAAGCUUUGUAUACAUGUUGAAAAUUAUAGUAUAAUAAGCCUUGUGGUGCAAUAUGAUAAUGUUUACCAAUGUAACAUAAGAACUUU